CAUUUUUCUUUUUUUUUUUUUGGUAUAUUAAUUAAUCAACAUUCAUUCUUUCUCGAAUAUUGAAAUUUCUUCUUUUUUUACCCUUUUGCCCUUUCGAUCCCCAAAUUCCUAUUCUCUUCAUCUUUUUCUCUCGAUUUCCAGUCUCGAUUCUUCGAUCGCCAUGAGGAGCUUCGUCGGCCUUCCGAUAAUCGCUUUUAUACUGGUGACGCUUCGCCAAUUCGCAGCCGGAGAGGGCGGCGCUCCUUCACCAGCACCGGCGCCUUCCAACGACGGCACUGCGAUUGAUCAAGGAAUUGCUUACACCCUGCUGCUGCUUGCGCUGGCGAUUACUUAUUUAAUCCACUGAGUUUAAUUGUUUUUUAUUCUUUUAUUUUUUUAGAUUUUUAUGGAGAUAAUUUUGGUGGUUUGGGUAUAUUUAUUCAAUUCUUCAUGCGUUGGAGUGAGGAAAUCCAUAUUUGAAGCUUACUUGUAGAUAGAAUUUUAAUCAGAAUGGUAUUUACUUUUACGAUUUAAA